UCCUGACCCAAGAGCCCAAUGAGAAUGCUAGGGCUAAAGGGGAAGUUUAUCACGGGCAAUGGUCAGAAACACCACCACAAGCAGCCGCAGCUUCUUGUUGUCCCCCCAUUCCAGCAGCAUCUCCUGAUCAAUUAUGGUCAAGAAAGCUGUCCUUAUAUUUGUCCCUUCUCCCGGAGCUGAAGAGCAUAUGCAGUUGGGAUUGGACUUCGGGAUCUCAUACAUGUCAUUGGGAUACGUGAAGUCCGACAGCUGACGAGGAUUGAAAUGUUAGAUGUUGAUGAUGGAAUCUUCGUUUCUCCACCCCCUUCCCUUAAGGAGAUAAUAAUAAAUUGAAGAUGAAGAAUGGGGGGAAGCUCUGGAGUGGGUCCACCCUGGGGCCAAGGCUGCCCUCAAACCUUACGUGUCCAUCUUCAGCUUUUACCAGGGCAAGAGGCUUCCCGUCCAGGCAUUGAAUGAGGUUUUCAAUAAAAGUAAUUGGAAAUUUUCCGGAUUGUGGAUAAAUUACAAGCCGAACUGCUGCUUGCUAGGAGAUUCUGAACCAUCGCCCGCAGGUUUAAGUGUGUUGUUUUUAUGAACUUGGACAAUAUGUCGAUUGUUUGCCUGCCCUGUCAGGUAUUCUAACACUCAGUUAAGUAAUCUCCAGAUACGUGACUAUGUCACCUAUCGAGGAGGUGUAACUUAACUUGUGCACCCGCAGAAAUCCGUAAUCUCAAUGUUUGGAGUCUGCAUAACUCUGCUACCAAUUCAUAGUUCUCCUAAAAAUUUCUCCUCUGAUUUCAGAAUCUUAAAAUUUCCAGGUAGAGGAGACAAAAAGGCUGUUAAGUUAGUCAUGGCGAGACUUAGAGUUCCUACAUAUCCGCCUUUGCCGCCCUCAUGCUUGUGGUUUUGAAUCGGUGUUAUUGCUCCCUUCAAUAUCAAUUCCAUGUCUCCGGGAAGCAGAUUUUACUUUAUAGACGGUGUGUUGAUACAGAUAUCUCAAUGAGAGGAAUAUUAAUCUGUAAAUACAGAAAACACUGGGAAUACACAAAUCUACCUAAAGAAUUAGUCUCACUGAGAUAUCGAACAUAUGCGGCAUUCCUCCAAGAUGAAUAGUCCCCUUGCUAGUGGCAUAUAGAGAGCAGAGUUCAAAGUUUCUCUGCAAAUACCUUUGUUUCAGACUUGCAGACUUGAAGACCUGCGGGUGCUCAAGAUAUUUGACUGCAGGGAGGUGUCAGCACUUCCUUUCCCAUCACAGCAAGGAGACCACUGCCCCAAUCUCAAGGAGCUACGGAUCUCUGAUGUCCAAAAUUGAAGCAUCUGUUGGUGCCCAGACACAGCUACAAUCUGUAAUUUAAGAAACUAGAAAAGCUCGUGAUAGAAGACUGCGGGGCGCUGGAGAGUAUAAUAGACGAAGAAGAAUCACUUGAACUUCCUUUCCUAUCACAGCAUGGAGACCAUUUUCCCAAUUUCAAUGAGCUUUACAUUUCCCAUUGUCCGAAACUGAAGCAUCUGUUGGUGAUGUCAGGACGUAGUCGCAGUAGUACUCUGUACCUUAAGAAACUAGAAAAGCUCGAGAUAUGCAGCUGCGAGGAGCUGGAGAGUAUAAUAGGAGGAGCAACAGACGAAGAAGAAUCACUGACAUCAUCAACAUCACCACUGCCACCCGACGACGCUUUCUCCCAACUCCAAUCAAUUAAAAUCGAGAGCUGCCCAAAGAUGAAGAAUGUGGUGGGGCCUGAAUUGCUUCCUCUUCUCCAUAACCUCCGGCGGAUUCGAGUUAAUGAGGCCUCCAAUAUGGAGGAGAUAAUAGCAGUGCCAUCCCCGACAUCAAUUCCUGCAGCCACGUUCCCCUUGCAGCUUCCUCUUCUUACAUCAAUAUCUGUCUUGGGAUGUUCAGAGAUGAAGAGGGUGCUAACUCUCGAGUUAUUCAUGUUCCUCCCCAACCUCCAGACUAUCCAUGUUCAUGAUUGCAAAGAGAUGAAGGAUGUGAUAGGCGGCCAAGAAUUAGACCACGGAGCCACCAGCAGCUUGUUCUUGUCCCCCAUUACAGCAGCAUCUCCUGGCAUUCAAUUAAGUACAAGAAAGCUGACCUUGAAUUUGUCAGACCUUAAGGAGCUGGAGAGCAUAUGCAGUUGGACUAGACUUCGGGAUCUCAUACAUGUCAUUUAUAUAAGUAGAUGUCCAAAGCUGAAGAGGAUUGAAAUGCUAGAUGAUGCUUCUCCUCCCCCUGCUCUUAAGUAGAUGGUAUUAUUCGGAGUAGUAGGAAAACAAUGGUGGGAAUCUCUGGAGUGGAUCCACCCUGAGGCCAAGACCACCCUUGAACCCUAUGUGUUUGUUAUUUUGUUAGGCCGAAAAUUUCCUUUACGAGAAAGCUGGUCGUAAUCGACAGCAGGAUUAGGGAGGGAGGGAUGAAGAGGGUGCUAACUCUUGACUGAUUCGUGCUCCUCCCCAACCUCCAGACUCUCCGUGUUUAUGGAUGCGAGCAGAUGAAGGAGGUGAUAGGCGGCCAAGAAUUAGACGAUGGACCCACCACAAGCUCUAACAGAGACACAUGCACGCCUCUCUCCACAUCGAGAAGGCUAUUACACUUAGAUCUACAGAAUCUGCCAGAAGUAGAGAGCAUAUGCAGCAGCGGGAGUGACGUUCGCAAUUUCAUCAGGGUCCUUGAACUAAGGAAAUGUCCAAAACUGAAGUUGAUGGCAAUGCUCGACAGGGUCCCUUUCUCCCCCUUAUCUCGAGAAGGUAAUAAUAUGUCCUGAGGCAAAGCUUGCAGUCGAGCCUUGUGUGUACAUCAAAAGAUUUGGAGAAGAAAUUCCUGUUCAAGAAUGGCGGGACCAUCUCCAUCUACAAAAAAAGAGUAUGGCGGGCCAGGCCAGCUCGUUAAGGACUCGGGAGACCGAAGACAAUUUCUCUAUAUGGCGGACAACUGACACUUUCUAUAAUAAAAAGACAUCAAGCAACAAUCAACAGAAGAAAUGUAUUGUCUCACGGACAUCUACCCCGUCCAACAGCCAAGACCUAGAUCAGUUUGACAUCCACACGUACAUAUGUUCUUCAGCUCACUGCUGCUUCUCUCUGGACAAUAUCUUUGGACCGUGUGGAUAGCUUGCAAAGGGAGGAAGCUCACGCCGAUAGUUGCGCGCUGGUUGCUGCCUUUCUUAAAUGAAACUCUUGAACCAUUUGGUGUUUCACAAAUUUUAUGGAUUCUGGGAGCACCUUUCCCAGUAUAUACUGAUUAUGCUUCGGAUAGGCCUGCAUCUGUUAUGGAUCAUGCUUUGGAUAUGCGCGCACCUAAUAUGGGCACUGUCUCAUCCCAUUUUACGGUUUAGACCCCAUUUUCGAGGCAGCUAUCUUCAUCCUCACCAAUAGCUGAUGUAUCGAUCUGGAAUGGUGAUGUACCAUUCAAAACUUUGCUUGCUGCUGCUGGGAGAGAUUUUCGGAUCGUGGAUAGAUUAAAAGACAAGGAAGUUGGAGAUAGCAAACCGCUGCUUAUGUGAUAUAGUGAUGAGGAGAUUCUGAACCAUUUGCUCUGCAGAUAUAGUGCACUGUUUUUUGAAGAACUUGAAACAUAUGUUGACCGUUUGCCUGCUCUGUUAAGUACUGUAACACUCAAGAGUAUUCUCCAGAAACGUCAGCUAUCAAAUUCUUUGUGUUUUAAGAAUUUUAACUAUGCCAGACAGAGAUGCAAAUGCUGUUCAGUCGGUCAAUAUGUUGACAUGACGAGAAUUGGAGUUCCA